rnacentral:rRNA from 1 species
AUUGAACGCUGGCGGCAGGCUUAACACAUGCAAGUCGAGCGCCCCGCAAGGGGAGCGGCGGACGGGUGAGUAACGCGUGGGAACGUACCCUUUGCUACGGAAUAGCCUCGGGAAACUGGGAGUAAUACCGUAUGUGCCCUUCGGGGGAAAGAUUUAUCGGCAAAGGAUCGGCCCGCGUUGGAUUAGGUAGUUGGUGGGGUAAUGGCCUACCAAGCCGACGAUCCAUAGCUGGUUUGAGAGGAUGAUCAGCCACACUGGGACUGAGACACGGCCCAGACUCCUACGGGAGGCAGCAGUGGGGAAUCUUAGACAAUGGGCGCAAGCCUGAUCUAGCCAUGCCGCGUGAGCGAUGAAGGCCUUAGGGUUGUAAAGCUCUUUCAGUGGGGAAGAUAAUGACUGUACCCACAGAAGAAGCCCCGGCUAACUCCGUGCCAGCAGCCGCGGUAAUGUACAGUGU